GCUUGUGUCGUAUGUCACCUUCGUCUGUUAAAGUCUCCCUGGCCAUCCAGCCUCUUCCUGCACUGAGUAACCGUCUGCUGAUGCCAAAAUCUGCUAAUCUUGCCCUCCCAUUAACAUCUGCAGGACAAAUCACAAAAAGGAAUGUGAGGACCAUACAGACAAAACAAUGAAGGUGAUUGUGCAGCACAGUGUCAUGGCUGAGGAGGAUCCAUCAGAUGUGUCUGUUGUGAUUGAGGGAAACACCGUGAUGGAAGAAUGUGGAAGUCGAACGAAGGCAUGUGUUCUGCUGAUGGGACUGAUAUAUGCCCUCAACCUCGAAUAUCCACAGCAGCUGAAGAACACGUUUGAAACAUUUCAAAAACUUUUUUUGGAGCUUGACGCAGCGAAACUACAGAAGAAGGUCCACAGCCUCAAAAGUAAGCUCAUGCAAUAGACAUUCCCCUUCUUGUUCCAAGAGGAUCUGUACACAGAGUUGUGAUGGAGUGUGAUUUUAGUUUUCUUCACUGCUGCUCUCCUCCCUACCACACACACACACACUAACACACACACACACAAGUUGUAUGUUGUGCAGCCUCAGCCCACUCCCUUGCUGCCUGAUUUCCCCAGAUUGACAGAGAAGGAACACCAAUAGAAAGUGGCUGGCUUUGUCAAUACCCUCAGUUUGUUUUAAAUAUGUUGGUGUUCACCUGUUCUAUUCUCAUCUAAAUGUUUGAUAGAGUAUAUGCACAGGAACAUGGCAGACUUUAUGUGUGGGCUUUUGACUUUUAAAAUAUAAUAUAAGUCACCUCUUGAAAGUGUUGUCUGUAUUUGAGGCAGUUUAGUUAUUUGUUGUUUGUUGUUGUAUUGUAUUGUGGUUGUUGUAUAAAUGCACUUGUACUGCAGAUUUGGUGUUAAGUUGUAAAGCUAAAGAGGCACGAGUUUGGAUACAAGAAAAUCUUGUUGUUACUGGACAUCCCUUGGAGAUCUGCUCUCCUGAUACUUCUCCAUUCAUUUCCACUUCUCUUCUAUCCUCUGAUCUUGUCACUUUUUCUUUUUGAUCAAGCUGGAUGUGGGAAGAUGCAUUUGUCAUCAAGAAACAUGAAGUUGUUACUUCAGUGAGAUUUGAAACAUGUUUAUACCUUGAGAAGCACUGUGAGGCUGUUUAUUGCACUUUAUUCUGUGUUUUUGAUAAUUGAUUAAAAACAUUGUGAUGAUCA